rnacentral:lncRNA from 10 species
AGCUUUUCAUUUUGUUGCAGUUGAGGCUGGUAGAAGCCUAAGAGUUAAUUUUAAUAAGACUAAUCAGCCAAUCUUGACAAUAGAAGGGAAGGAACAGGGACAGGUAGAUGACUGUAUGUUUUGACAUUGGACCAUUAACAUGCAAAUCAUAUGCAAAAUCAUAUGCUAACAACUUUGCGCCUUUGUUUGUGGUUGGACACUUUUUUCCCCCAAAUGGACUACAGCCCUGAUUCAAUCCUACACAGAAAGGCACUUAACAGGCAGCGUCCUUCACAUCAUCCAGAGGCCACGGCAGAGCUCCCAGGGACAAGCAGCAUUAAUUAUAGACUAAUGAUUCCAUUUGCAUGCACAUUUUUAAAAACAGUAGUGAAUGUAGUCCUAAUAAUUGAGGAUGAGUGAGAUGAGGCCGCAUUAAAAUGCUCUACUGAGUCUCU